rnacentral:rRNA from 1 species
AUUGAACGCUGGCGGCAGGCCUAACACAUGCAAGUCGAGCGAGCGGAGGACGGGUGAGUAAUGUAUGGGGACUGCCCGAUAGAGGGGGAUAACUCCUGGAAACGGUGGCUAAUACCGCAUACUAUCGGAUAACCCAUAUGGGAUUAGCUAGUAGGGGGGGUAAAGGCUCACCUAGGCGACGAUCUCUAGCUGUUCUGAGAGGAUGAUACGCCAAACUUGGACGGCAACAUGGCAUAGGUUCCAAAGGAGGCAGCAGUGGGAAAUAUCACAACAAGGGAUAAAGCCUGCUGCGGCGCUGCCGCUCGUAUGAAGACGGUCGUUGGAUUGAAGAGCACUUUCAGGUGGGAAGCGUGACCAACAGAAUAAGCACCGGCUAACUGAGGGACAGCAGCCGCGGUAAUAC